UGGCCCCGAUCGUUACCGUGAAAAAAUUAGAGUGUUCAAAGCAGGCAGAUCCAAUGUUCCGCCACCGAAUACAUUAGCAUGGGAUAAUGGAAUAGGACCCUGUCCUCCUAUUUUCAGUUGGUUUUGGCAGCGCGAGGACUAGGGUAAUGAUUAAUAGGGAUAGUUGGGGGCAUUAAUAUUUAAUUGUCAGAGGUGAAAUUCUUGGAUUUAUGAAAGAUUAACUUCUGCGAAAGCAUCUGCCAAGGAUGUUUUCAUUAAUCAAGAACGAAAGUUAGGGGAUCGAAGACGAUCAGAUACCGUCGUAGUCUUAACCAUAAACGAUGCCGACCAGCGAUUAGGAGACGUUGAAUACAAAACACCACCAUCGGUGCGGUCGUCCUUGGCGUCUCGGUCCUUCACGGGGCCGGGGCGCGGGGGCGGCUUAGCCCGGUGGCACCGGUGAAUGACUCCCCUAGCAGCUUGUGAGA
rnacentral:rRNA from 1 species